rnacentral:rRNA from 1 species
GUCUUUCUGAGUUAUUUUAAAAGUCUAACCUGCCCACUGAAUAAUUUUAAAUGGCCGCAGUAUUUUAACUGUGCAAAGGUAGCAUAAUCAUUAGUCUUUUAAUUGAAGGCUGGUAUGAAUGGUUGGACGAAAUAUAAGCUGUUUCAUAUAAAAUUAAGUUAGAAUUUUAUUUUUCAGUUAAAAAGCUGAAAUUUAAUUAAAAGACGAGAAGACCCUAUAAAUCUUUAUGUUUUAUUAUAGUUGAGUUUUUUAAGUUUAUUUAAUUUUUUUAUAAUAAAUUAUUUUGUUGGGGUGAUAUUAAAAUUUAAUUAACUUUUUAAUUUAUUAUUAAGUCAUUAAUUUAUGAUUUGUUGAUCCAUUAUUAGUGAUUAUAAGAUUAAGUUACUUUAGGGAUAACAGCGUAAUUUUUUUUGAGAGUUCAUAUCGAUAAAAAAGUUUGCGACCUCGAUGUUGGAUUAAGAUAUAUUUUAGGUGUAGCUGUUUAAAUGUUAAGUCUGUUCGACUUUUAAAUUCUUACAU